rnacentral:lncRNA from 1 species
UAGUGGGUGAUCAAAUAGCGAAUUUAUGUGAAGGCAGGCAAAUCUUUUUUCGUGCAAAAGAUAGAACCCCAAUCCCAUUUUCUCUUCAUCAACAUGCCACCUGCUCACUCUUUCAAAAUGUUUUUUAAGCGAUCUAGAACCUUGCGGCUUCACUAAUAUCCUUUGCAAAUAGCAAGCUUGUUUUUGACUAACAUAGCCAUCACUUUAUGAGAGAUAUGGUUAGACUGCCCUAUAUUAGAGUGACGAUUAUUUUUUUUGUUAAUAUGAGA